rnacentral:rRNA from 1 species
GACGAACGCUGGCGGCGUGCUUAACACAUGCAAGUCGAACGGUGAAGCACCUUCCUUUUGGUGGGUGUGGAUGAGUGGCGAACGGGUGAGUAACACGUGAGUAACCUGCCCCCUUCUUCUGGAUAACCGCAUGAAAGUGUGGCUAAUACGGGAUAUUCUGGGUCUGUCGCAUGGCGGGCCUGGGAAAGAUAUUGUUUCGGUGGGGGAUGGGCUCGCGGUCUAUCAGCUUGUUGGUGGGGUGAUGGCCUACCAAGGCGGUGAGGGGUAGCCGGCCUGAGAGGGUGGGCGGUCACACUGGGACUGAGACACGGCCCAGACUCCUACGGGAGGCAGCAGUGGGGAAUAUUGCACAAUGGGCGCAAGCCUGAUGCAGCGACGCCGCGUGAGGGAUGGAGGCCUUCGGGUUGUAAACCUCUUUCGCCAGUGAAGCAGGCCUGUCCCUUUUGUGGGUGGGUUGACGGUAGCUGGAUAAGAAGCGCCGGCUAACUACGUG